AGAGCUGCCUACACAGGUGCAAAUGUUUCUAUGCUCCCCCUAUCAUCUUCGUCCCUGAGGUUAUCUCAGAUUAGA